rnacentral:rRNA from 1 species
AAUAGAUACCCCGGUAGUCCACGCUGUAAACGGUGGGUACUAGGUGUGGGGUCCAUUCCACGGGUUCCGUGCCGUAGCUAACGCUUUAAGUACCCCGCCUGGGGAGUACGGCCGCAAGGCUAAAACUCAAAAGGAAUUGACGGGGCCCCGCACAAGCGGCGGAGCAUGCGGAUUAAUUCGAUGCAACGCGUAGAACCUUACCUGGGUUUGACAUGGAUCGGGAGUGCUCAGAGAUGGGUGUGCCUCUUUUGGGGUCGGUUCACAGGCGGUGCAUGGCUGUCGUCAGCUCGUGUCGUGAGAUGUUGGGUUAAGUCCCGCAACGAGCGCAACCCUUGUUCACUGUUGCCAGCACGUUAUGGUGGGGACUCAGUGGAGACCGCCGGGGUCAACUCGGAGGAAGGUGGGGAUGACGUCAAGUCAUCAUGCCCCUUAUGUCCAGGGCUUCACGCAUGCUACAAUGGCUGGUACAGAGAGUGGCGAGCCUGUGAGGGUGAGCGAAUCUCGGAAAGCCGGUCUCAGUUCGGAUUGGGGUCUGC